rnacentral:rRNA from 1 species
AACGAACGCUGGCGGCAUGCCUAACACAUGCAAGUCGAGCGCCCCCCUAGGGUAGCGUCCGACGGGGGAGUAUAGCGUGGGAACGUACCCUUAUCUUUGGGAAAGCUCCGGGAAACUGGAAUUAAUAUAGCAUGUGCUCUUUUGGGGCCAGAUAUGUCUGAUGAGGGUGGGCCCGCGUCGUAUUAGCUAGUUGGUGGGGUAAAGGCCGAUCAAGGCGACGAUCCAUAGCGGGUCUGAGAGGAUGAUCCGCCACACUGGGACUGUGACACGGCCCAGAAUCCUACGGGAGGCAGCAGUGGGGAAUAUUGCCAAAUCGGCGGAAGCAUGAUCCAGCUAUGCCGCGUGAGUGAUGAAGGCCUUAGGGUUGUAAAGCUCUUUCACCCGGGAUGAUAAUGACGGUACCCGGAGAAGAAGCCCCGGCUAACUUCGUG